rnacentral:rRNA from 1 species
GACGAACGCUGGCGGCGUGCUUAACACAUGCAAGUCGAGCGGUAAGGCCCUUUCGGGGGUACACGAGCGGCGAACGGGUGAGUAACACGUGGGUGACCUGCCCUCAGCUCUGGGAUAAGCCUGGGAAACUGGGUCUAAUACCGGAUAUGACUCCGCGGUGCAUGCUGUGGGGUGGAAAGCCUUGUGCGGCUGGAGAUGGGCCCGCGGCCUAUCAGCUUGUUGGUGGGGUGAUGGCCUACCAAGGCGA